GAGUGUUUGCCCGAGUGGUUAAGGGGGCUAACUGAAGAUUUAUUAUACCAUGUCUGCGUGGGUUCGAACCCCACAGCACUCA